rnacentral:rRNA from 1 species
CGCUGGCGGCACGCCUAACACAUGCAAGUCGAACGAAGUAGCAAUACUUAGUGGCAGACGGGUGAGUAACAUGUAGGUAUCUACCCUAUGGUUUGGAAUAACACGAGGAAACUUGUGCUAAUACCAAAUAAGUCUUUACGGAGAAAGCUUUAUGCGCCAUUGGAUGAGCCUGCACUUGAUUAGUUUGUUGGUGGGGUAAUGGCCUACCAAGACAAUGAUCAAUAGCUGAUUUGAGAGGAUGAUCAGCCACAUUGGGACUGAGACACGGCCCAAACUCCUACGGGAGGCAGCAGUGGGGAAUCUUGCACAAUGGGGGAAACCCUGAUGCAGCGAUGCCGCGUGAGUGAAGAAGGCCUUUGGGUUGUAAAGCUCUUUCGUCGGGGAAGAAAAUGACUGUACCCGAAUAAGAAGGUCCGGCUAACUUCGUGCCAGCAGCCGCGGUAAUACGAAGGGACCUAGCGUAGUUCGGAAUUACUGGGCUUAAAGAGUUCGUAGGUGGUUAAAAAAGUUGGUGGUGAAAUCCCAGAGCUUAACUCUGGAACUGCCAUCAAAACUUUUUAGCUAGAGUAUGAUAGAGGAAAGUAGAAUUUCUAGUGUAGAGGUGAAAUUCGUAGAUAUUAGAAAGAAUACCAAUUGCGAAGGCAGCUUUCUGGAUCAUUACUGACACUGAGGAACGAAAGCAUGGGUAGCGAAGAGGAUUAGAUACCCUCGUAGUCCAUGCCGUAAACGAUGUGUGUUAGACGUUGGAAAUUUAUUUUCAGUGUCGCAGCGAAAGCAGUAAACACACCGCCUGGGGAGUACGACCGCA